UACGAGUGCCCCAAGCGUUAUCCGGAAUUAUUGGGCGUAAAGGGUGUGUAAGUCUGUUGUGAAAUCCCCGGGCUCAACCUGGGAAUGGCAAUGGAGACUGCAAGGCUAGAGUUUGGCAGAGGGGGGUAGAAUUCCACGUGUAGCAGUGAAAUGCGUAGAUAUGUGGAGGAACACCGAUGGCGAAGGCAGCCCCCUGGGUCAAAACUGACGCUCAUGCACGAAAGCGUGGGGAGCAAACAGG
rnacentral:rRNA from 1 species